UACGGGGGGGGCAAGCGUUGUUCGGAAUUACUGGGCGUAAAGGGCUCGUAGGCGGCCAACUAAGUCAGACGUGAAAUCCCUCGGCUUAACCGGGGAACUGCGUCUGAUACUGGAUGGCUAGAGAUUGGGAGAGGGAUGCGGAAGUUCCAGGUGUAGCGGUGAAAUGCGUAGAUAUCUGGAGGAACACCGGUGGCGAAGGCGGCAUCCUGGACCAACACUGACGCUGAGGCGCGAAAGCGUGGGGAGCAAAGCGGG
rnacentral:rRNA from 1 species